rnacentral:lncRNA from 1 species
UUUUUUCAGAACUCAGUUUAAAAGUGGAUGUUUGAAAGAAAGUCUAUGGACCUCAUUGUUGGUUUUUGCAAGCGUGGGAACAAUUCUGUGAAAGGCGUUCCUUGUAGAUAGAUGGUAUACAUCGCAUUGGGUGGAGUGCCUACUUCUCACAUCCUUACGUUGCCUCACUACCUCAACUUCUCUUUGAGGCUUAGUCUGUAGAUUAUGCUUUGCUGUGAGAAGAUUUUGACGUUUUCUUUGCCUCUUGGAUUAGCUCUUGGAUGAGUGGAUGUGUCAUUCCUGCACCUAAACAACCAACUUCCGGCGCACAUAGUUGAUUGGAUCGAUGAAAAUCAUUUAAUGCGAGUAAGUCCCCAGUGUUUACCGUACUCCUCUGUUUGUUCUUUGAUCUCCCCUUGAUAGUAGU